rnacentral:rRNA from 1 species
GACGAACGCUGGCGGCGUGCCUAAUACAUGCAAGUUGAGCGCUGAAGGUUGGUACUUGUACCAACUGGAUGAGCAGCGAACGGGUGAGUAACGCGUGGGAAUCUGCCUUUGAGCGGGGGACAACAUUUGGAAACGAAUGCUAAUACCGCAUAAAAACUUUAAACACAAGUUUUAAGUUUGAAAGAUGCAAUUGCAUCACUCAAAGAUGAUCCCGCGUUGUAUUAGCUAGUUGGUGAGGUAAAGGCUCACCAAGGCGAUGAUACAUAGCCGACCUGAGAGGGUGAUCGGCCACAUUGGGACUGAGACACGGCCCAAACUCCUACGGGAGGCAGCAGUAGGGAAUCUUCGGCAAUGGACGAAAGUCUGACCGAGCAACGCCGCGUGAGUGAAGAAGGUUUUCGGAUCGUAAAACUCUGUUGGUAGAGAAGAACGUUGGUGAGAGUGGAAAGCUCAUCAAGUGACGGUAACUACCCAGAAAGGGACGGCUAACUACGUG